AGAAUCAACGCUGGCGGCGUGCCUAACACAUGCAAGUCGCACGAGAAAGGGGAGCAAUCCCUGAGUAAAGUGGCGCACGGGUGAGUAACACGUGAAUCAUCUACCUCCGAGUGGGGAAUAACCUAGAGAAAUCUGGGCUAAUACCGCAUAACACUUACGAGUCAAAGCAGUAAUGCGCUUGGAGAGGAGUUCGCGGCAGAUUAGCUAGUUGGCGGGGUAAUGGCCCACCAAGGCGAUGAUCUGUAUCCGGCCUGAGAGGGCGCACGGACACACUGGAACUGAAACACGGUCCAGACUCCUACGGGAGGCAGCAGUGGGGAAUUUUGCGCAAUGGGGGAAACCCUGACGCAGCAACGCCGCGUGGAGGAUGACGCCCCUUGGGGUGUAAACUCCUUUCGAUCGGGAAGAUGAUGACGGUACCGAUAUAAGAAGCCCCGGCUAACUUCGCGCCAGCAGCCGC
rnacentral:rRNA from 1 species